GGUGAAUAAAGGCAAACCGGUGCGAAAGCCCGGGACGCAAAGCCUCCGGUCUAAGUCGGGUAUUACCUACCCAAUACGAUAGCGGGGUUGCUGGA
rnacentral:ncRNA from 1 species